GGUUGGAGGGCAUAAUUCUUUUUCAUGCACAUGAAAAUAUGUUUUGGUCGGCCACCACGCCCGGCAUUUCAGCAAUAAUUUGGCUAACCAGGUGUCUUAUUCACCUGACGGGGUUGCCUGUUCUUUUAUAGCGGGAGGUGCCUCUAGGAAAGAGAAAGGGAAGGUAUUUUUCUUUUCACUUGAGAUUUAAAAAAAUUAUCUCAAGGCUGAACCCUUGAGGUGGAGUCAUCCUUGACUAGAGUAACUUUGACAACUUUGUUUUAAGGUACUAAUUGUCCAGAGAUUUAAUUUUUCUACAGAAACCAAAAAUACAAGAAAGUGGGUGGGAGA
rnacentral:lncRNA from 1 species